rnacentral:rRNA from 1 species
UACGUAGGGGGCUAGCGUUGUCCGGAAUCAUUGGGCGUAAAGCGCGUGUAGGCGGUCCGGUAAGUCCGCUGUGAAAGUCGAGGGCUCAACCCUCGAAUGCCGGUGGAUACUGUCGGGCUAGAGUGCGGAAGAGGCGAGUGGAAUUCCUGGUGUAGCGGUGAAAUGCGCAGAUAUCAGGAGGAACAGCUAUUGCGAAGGCAGCUCGCUGGGACGUUACUGACGCUGAGACGCGAAAGCGUGGGGAGCAAACAGG